UCCUCCGGCCGGUACAUUGUUCUGCUGUUUCUUUGACUUUUAUGGGAAGAACCAGCGAAGACAGUUUCAGAAGUCCCAGUAUAAGGAAUACAUUGACUUCAUCUCUGAGAUCAGCACAGCCUGUGGGUUCAACACUGCCUGAGAAUCCCCUCCACAAAGCGGAUAUGCUAAUGGAGCGGCAGGUAGCCUAGUGGUUCGAGGGUUGGGCUAGUAAACGAAAGGUUGCUGGAUCGAAUCCCAGCGCUGACAAGGUGUGUCUGGUAGGAAAGUCAAGGAGCUACCAGCUGUCGGACGAGCGGAGAGCCAAGUAUAUACAGGGUCGUCAGACCUGCUCCGGGGUCACAGUACAAGGGUCAAACGUCGAGGGGGAAGCUGAGACUGACAGGUCCCAUGGGAACAACUGGGGAGCUGGGUUCCAGCCCCGAGAGAGGAUUGAGACUGUGCGGAAUUGCGCCGCCCUCCCCCGGGAUUUUGUAGUCUUACCAACACUCUGCUUGGGUCGACCAAGGACAAAGGCGGGGAUGUCCCUGAUACCUGGAACACUGGAGGCAGUCUGUCAGGGAGAGAGGUAGCUGAGCUGUUGGAGUAGGAGACUCUACAGGUCUUAAAGGAGUGUGGAGGUCUGUACACCCUGCUCAAGAACAACCACCAGGUCUUCAGAGUAAAGGCGGUAUGGUCCAUAUCCGGAACUGGCGGGUACAGACCCAGAGACCCAGAAGGCUGCAAGGUACCAGGACUGAUGCUAAGCGGAAGCCCCUACUCUCUGGUGUCCUGAAGAUCCGGGCCUGCUGGUUCAAUGCCUACCACCCCCACGGAUGCCCCCUGCCGGCCGAGGAGUGUGACUUUGCCCGUUGAGCCGACGACCUCCAACCUUCCACCAGACUACUCAAGAAACUGAAGAACUCAAAUUAAACGCUCGAUUCAGUUUAGACCGUUGACUUGUUUUUAUUUAUGCCAUGAAACAAUGGUACACAAACACCUGUGACUACAAAGUCAUUUGUAUAUACUUGGUUGUAAUUUAUUCUAACUAUUUAUUGGACUUUUCAGACCUAAAUCUGGUUAGAUACGGUACUUUUGAGUUUUUAAUUGGGGAGCAAGCUUUGCUAUUUGUUGUGCACAUCGCAAAUAUAAC